rnacentral:tRNA from 1 species
GGAUGUAGUCCAGUGGUACAGUUUUUGCCUGGAAUGCAAAAGGCCCUGGAUUCAAUCCCCAGCACCA